GUAUUGAAGGUGAUGCCUGCCCGGUGACAUGAUGUUAAACGGCCGCGGUAUCCUAACCGUGCGAAGGUAGCGCAAUCAAUUGUCCCGUAAAUCGGGACUAGUAUGAAUGGCUAAACGAGGUUCUAACUGUCUCUUACAGGCAAUCGGUGAAAUUGAUCUCCCUGUGCAAAAGCAGGGAUAAAUCCAUAAGACGAGAAGACCCUGUGGAACUUUAAAAUCAGCAGCCACUCCCAAAUACAUACACACCCAACCCGGGCUCACUUACUCCACGGGACAUUGGCUUGCAAUUUUUCGGUUGGGGCGACCUUGGAGCAAAACAAAACCUCCAAAAAUUGGACCAUUCCUCUAGACCAAGAGCAACUUCUCAACGUGCGAACAGCAACCAGACCCAAUAUAAUUGAUCAAUGGACCAAGCUACCCCAGGGAUAACAGCGCAAUCUCCUCCGAGAGUCCAUAUCGACGGGGAGGUUUACGACCUCGAUGUUGGAUCAGGACAUCCUAGCGGUGCAGCAGCUACUAAGGGUUCGU
rnacentral:rRNA from 1 species